rnacentral:tRNA from 1 species
GAAUUGUGUUUCAGAUGGUUCUGAAGAAGAAUUGCAAAUUCUUUGUUUAGGGUUCAAUUCCCUCUCAAUUCU